AGUUGAGAGGGAAUGUUUGCAGGGACGUGCACCAGCAGCGUUCUGUAACACUUCAAUCACGAACACCUUUUCCAUUGUGCUCUAAAAAGAUGCCCUGACUCUAUUCCUGAAUCUGCCAUUGAAUAGCUAAAGAGAAUGAGAAUUUCUGAAUCUGGUAUCCUCAUUUUUUUAAAAAGGUGGGGGUGGACUCUAUGGUCUUUAAUAUCCUCACCAGUUCUAAAAUUCUGUGGCCCAGAUAUUAUGGGAUAUGCACACUGCGUGGACACCCCCCUCCCCGGCCUGGCUGGUGGUGCAGGACGCUGGCACCAGCGGAAGGCGCUGAGGAAAGACGCCCCAAAUGAGCGCAAUGGGCAACACAUGUGGAGGCAGGUAGAAGGGCCACACCUGGGGGCUAGGGCAGUCUCGAAGGAUUCACGAAGACCUGAGACUCCAGCCAGGCCCAGCCGGGUGUGGCUGUGCCCAGGCUGCAGGAAAGCAGUGACAUCAGGAGCUACAGCCCGUCUUCACUUCCGGCCAGGGAGCACUAGUGACACAAAGGGAAGGAAACAGGUGGAAGCCAGUUACAUGCUUGCCCCGGGCCUUGAUGGCAGUGAAUGGUAGAGCUGGGAUUUCAACCUGAGUCCCAGGAAUCUGGGAACAGCAGGACAAACGAAAAAGGGUCUUGCUCUGUUACCCUAGCUAGAGUGCCGUGG